CUCUUCGCUCACCAUCACUUGCCAACCCGUGUCCCGCCAGCCUCCUCGCCAGCACCAUAGAGCGCCUUACAACUAAAUAAAGACCCGAGACCUCGCGCAAACCAGGGUGCUGCCCUUUCCAGGCAAGAGGGAAGGCAGGCAGAGAUGAGGACAGGAACAGAGACAGAGUGAGAUGGAAGGAUGGAGCUAGGCAAGGAUGGGUGGAAGGAGGGACCCCGGAAGGGAGAGAAAGAGGGAGGGAGGGAGAAAGGGAGGAAAAAGCCAGGGGAGGGAGGGUAGAACAGAUGGAAGGAUGGACGGAGAGACAAAAGGAGCAAGAAACAGAGAACAGAAGGCAGAGACAAAAAAUGUCUUAUGCCUCCAGAACCAACAGGACCCAGAACUCCGGGAAUAUGUUGGGUGCCCAGUACAGGCUGAGUGCUGGGCCCACAGCCCCGUUGGCCGGCGGGGCGCUCAGCGGCCCUCUGGAUCACCAGCCUGGGUUACUUCAUCCCGGAGCAAUUCAGACCAAUUCCGUUUCCGAAGGAAUGAGCGAAUUCCCCAGAGAGCAAUGAGCCGAGACUCAGGUAGUUGUCUGUUUUUCAUCCACAUGGUUCACAGAUGACAUAUCCCCACGUUGAGCCCUGCAACAGAGCUCGAGGCAGAUAGUCCCAUCCACACAGGAGUCACACCCAGGCCAACUGAAGCGUGAUUCUGGAUUCCACGUUUCUUUGCCCUCUGUAAAGGUGCCUGUUGCUCAAGUUUCUGCCCCCCGAAAGCGUGACCAUGUUGACUGUUUGUUUCGCGAGCUCUGUGGGGCCCCAGAAACUUCCAGGAAUGCGUGGAAGACCAGCAUCGUGUCGGUGCUCUCCUUUCCAGUUUUCAAACAGGCUAUAUUGGAGACUCCACAUUGUACAGGAAACAGGAAUCCAUUGUCAGGCCGUGAUGCACGGGAUGUUUCUUUUCUCUGUGGUUUCGCUCUCGUUGUCUACGUGAAAAUGAACGAGAUGAACACACCUGCGUGUGUGAGACUAUCACGGCAACUGUGACACCCAGGCGUUGGCAAUAGAGUUGGCAGCCUGAUCCUGGGACAAAGGUGGUAUGG
rnacentral:lncRNA from 1 species